UCAAGGUGGGAUAACUUACUCAGGCU
rnacentral:piRNA from 1 species